AAAGGCUAACUUUCAGGGAUCAUUUCUAUAGUUGGUUUUCUGAGACAUAACGGUAGCAACUGAUGAAAAUUGUCAAGUAGAAGAGAUAUUCACACCAGGUCAACUUCCAUCCCUUCCACCCAGUGCAGUGGAGCUUUCUGGCAGCAUGGAAGGCUGAUAGGU
rnacentral:snoRNA from 1 species